UCCCAGGUGGUCUAGUGGCUAAGACUCUGAGCUUCCAAUACAGGGGACCCAGGUUCGAUCCCUGGUCCGGGGA
rnacentral:tRNA from 1 species